rnacentral:rRNA from 1 species
AUACGUAGGGGGCGAGCGUUGUCCGGAAUGACUGGGCGUAAAGGGCGUGUAGGCGGCUGGAUAAGUCUGGAGUGAAAGUCCUGCAUUCAAUGUGGGAAUUGCUUUGGAGACUGUCUGGCUUGAGUGCGGAAGAGGUAAGUGGAAUUCCCAGUGUAGCGGUGAAAUGCGUAGAGAUUGGGAGGAACACCAGUGGCGAAGGCGACUUACUGGGCCGUAACUGACGCUGAGGCGCGAAAGCGUGGGGAGCGAACAGGAUUAGAUACCCUGGUAGUCCACGCGGUAAACGAUGAAUGCUAGGUGUAGGGGGUAUCGACCCCUCCUGUGCCGGAGUGAACACAAUAAGCAUUCCGCCUGGGGAGUACGGCCGCAAGGUUGAAACUCAAAGGAAUUGACGGGG